AUUUUGGUUACUUGAACAUAGGCUAUCUCUAAGGGACGGCAAGGUAGGGAAGCACAAAAUGUUGUGAGGGUAUAUGUUGCAAAUGUUCGUCUUAAAGAAGUUAACACGGAUAUCCUAAUUUCUGCAUAUGAGCCGAUUCAUAUAAAGUAAGUACUAGGAGUUUGUGUUCUGCUGCAACAAGUUCUCGGUUUUUUUGCUUUUCUUUCUGAGAGUACAAAUCAUUGAUUAAAUGCUAUCACCUAUACUUGAAUAAAUAACACCUAAAAGAAGAGCAUCUACACAUGAAUAUACUUACAACAUUCAGUCAAUCUAUGCAUAAUUUCUCUUGUAUUUCAAUAAUUUUAAACAACUAACAAGUUGAAACAUGUUAUAUUAAUUGCAAGUGUAAGAUUAAUGCCUCUUUUUCUUCCAAAUGUUAAGAUGUUGAAUUUCAAGGAUACAAAUGUAUUUCCUCUCAACAUAAAUUUUCCUGCCACUAGUGCUUUAGUAAUGUAAAGAGGCAGAGCAUAAUCUUCCUCCUUUGCACCCUCCUUGUGUUAGAUUCUCCGAUUGUGGUUCAGUUCCCAAAUGUUUGAACAGAAAUAGAUGGUAACAACACUGUUUUGUGUUGUGUUAAUAUUUCCGACACCCUCACACUUUCCUUAUUGUUUUCAGUCCAUUGAGUGAAAGUGCUACCGCCGUCGGGGCUGGUGCUGCCACUCCUGCCGAGCUUUCUGGAUGUACGCCAAUGGUUGAGGUCUUCAAACUUGCUCUCUCAACGUUUAAAGUCAACAACUGGGGCCUUUUUGGAAGUGUAUAGAUGAGUCAUAGGGCCAUGUAUAGAUUAUACAUGAAUAGGUUGUUUUAGAUUUAAUGAUUAUUUUUUGUUCAGAAAGAUUGUUGCCAGUCACCAAACUUAGUUUCUGUUGUCAUCUUCCAUUUUCUUUGAAUGUUGAACUGAAUGGCUUCUUGGUUUGGUGACUUUGGUCUCAGUCCUUUUUGUAAAGUUUGAAUUGUGAAAAUUACUUUCUGAUCAUCUCUCUCUCUCCACUGUAGAUGUUACUGCUUGUGUUCAGUUUUACACAAUAAAAAUUAACCUCAUAGUAGGGAUUUGUAAA